rnacentral:lncRNA from 1 species
GUUGGAGAAGAUGCAGCUCUGGUUGCUCGUAGUAUUAGUCAUCCAUCAUUAGAAAUUCCGUAUUUGGAUAAUACCGAAGAAAGCGCAGAAGAUUUUGCGUACACAUGUGAUGAUAGUUUCAAUUAAGCUGCUCUUUGAAAUUUAAAGAAUCCAAAAUUCAUUCAAACAGGUUAGAUUUUUGCUAACUAUAAUUUUUUAAAAAAUUAAUUUCAUUUUUUUAUCGACUAAUACUUAUUUGAAUCUAUAUGAAAUUAGGUAUGUUAUUCACAAAUAAGAAACAAAUGAAAGCUG